rnacentral:tRNA from 1 species
GGGUCCGUGGUCUAGAAUGGCUAUGACACAUCCUUGACGUGGAUGAGAUCGCAGGUUCAAGUCCUGCCGGACCCA